GCACAGGAAAGAGCAUUCUCAAAUUACACAAUGCAUUCUUGACAUACACACAGAAGCUUAGAAUUAUUUAGAAAGCAUAUUUCCUGCAAGAGAGAUCAUUGUAUGCACAUUUUAUGUAAGUGCUAAAUGCACUUUGUCCUUUUUUUAUGAGAUUUAUUACAUAAAAAGUAGGUCUGCUGCUCAGAGAAACGCAGUACAGUUCAACACAUUGUUAGAACACAUACGGAUAGUAUUCCCUGAACUCUGUAGCCAGUGAACAGAAAGGAAGUUUUUCUGCAAGGUA